AUAGCGAUGCCGAAAAGCUAAAAAAGAGUAGGCA
rfam:Winogradskyella psychrotolerans RS-3 Winogradskyella_psychrotolerans_contig_6, whole genome shotgun sequence.